rnacentral:rRNA from 1 species
AUUGAACGCUGGCGGCAUGCCUUACACAUGCAAGUCGAACGGCAGCGGGGACUUCGGUCCGCCGGCGAGUGGCGAACGGGUGAGUAAUGCAUCGGAACGUACCCGGAAGUGGGGGAUAACGUAGCGAAAGUUACGCUAAUACCGCAUAUUCUGUGAGCAGGAAAGAGGGGGAUCUUCGGACCUCUUGCUUUCGGAGCGGCCGAUGUCAGAUUAGCUGGUUGGUGAGGUAAAGGCUCACCAAGGCGACGAUCUGUGGCGGGUCUGAGAGGAUGAUCCGCCACACUGGAACUGAGACACGGUCCAGACUCCUACGGGAGGCAGCAGUGGGGAAUUUUGGACAAUGGGCGCAAGCCUGAUCCAGCCAUGCCGCGUGAGUGAAGAAGGCCUUCGGGUUGUAAAGCUCUUUCGGCCGGGAAGAAAUCGCAUGGAUUAAUACUCUGUGCGGAUGACGGUACCGGCAAGAAGCACCGGCUAACUCUGUGCCAGCCGCCGCCGUAAAAC